rnacentral:rRNA from 1 species
UACGUAGGGUGCAAGCAUUAAUCGGAUUUAUUGGGCGUAAAGAGGGCGUAGGCGGCAGAUUAAGUCGGAUGUGAAAGACCGGAGCUCAACUCCGGACCCGCAUUCGAAACUGAUUUACUAGAGGGUAGGCGGAGAAAACGGAACUCCACAUGUAGCGGUGAAAUGCGUAGAUAUGUGGAAGAACACCUGUGGCGAAAGCGGUUUUCUAGCUUAUACCUGACGCUGAGGCCCGAAAGCUAGGGGAGCAAACAGG